AGUUUUUCCAAAAAGUGUCUUAUGAAAUUGUGGAAUAAGAAAUAAUUCAUGAAACAUAAUUUACACAGUUUUUCCAAAAAGUCUCUAAUAAAAUUGUGGAAUAAAAAAAGGGAAUAUAUCAAUCCAUUGGUUCUACUUCCAUGUCAGUGACGGGUCUGGCGAUAUUAUUUAUUGGCCUCGCAAUGUCAUUUAAUGAAUUAAGGAGCGCGGAAUAUGCUGAGCUUCUUUACUGUGCGUUUAGGUUUCACACUCUUUAUAGCGGAUUCGCUUGUCUUCCAGGGAAUCGCACUAACACCUUUGUCAAACUCUAGGUUUUGACGCAAAGCAUACUCCGAAGUUCCGGAGCGUACCAAUAUGCCUAGAUGAGUUAAGGAACUGGAACAUAUCUUGGCUUUACACUCCACAUUAAGCAGCCUCCUAUUGCGUCGCAUCUGGAGUUAAACC